rnacentral:rRNA from 1 species
AUGGCCCUCCAAGCUCCAAUCAUCAACAUGGCGUCCCUGGGUAGCAGAGCUGCCGGCCGUCGUCGUCCCACGGUGCUCCAGCAGAUCGCUCUCUUCGUCGUUAUCGCGGCGGUCAUCAUGAACAGCUCCGUCUGCGUUGGAGCCGCCGGCCACGACGCCGCUGUAGUAGGCACAGACCCUAACCACCCUGCUUUCCCGUCGCCGCCUGGUAAACCCUACACCGGCGGCCGUGGGUGCCGCACAAUUUACGGAUGUCGUGAUGUACCACCGGCGGGUGGCCAGCCCUAG